rnacentral:rRNA from 1 species
UACGUAGGUGGCGAGCGUUGUCCGGAUUUACUGGGCGUAAAGGGAGCGUAGGCGGACUUUUAAGUGAGAUGUGAAAUACCCGAGCUCAACUUGGGUGCUGCAUUUCAAACUGGAGGUCUAGAGUGUCGGAGAGGUAAGUGGAAUUCCUAGUGUAGCGGUGAAAUGCGUAGAGAUUAGGAAGAACCCCGGUGGCGAAGGCGACUUACUGGACGAUAACUGACGCUGAGGCUCGAAAGCGUGGGGAGCAAACAGGAUUAGAUACCCCGGUAGUCCCUGAG